ACUUGAAUAUUAGUAGUUAUGGGCUUUAAAUUCAAAGAAUUUGGCGGUAUUUUAGUCUUGUUAGAGGAACCUGUUCUGUAAACGAUACAACACGAAAAAUCUUACUUACUUUUGUUUAACAGUUUGUAUACCGUCAUUAUUAGAUUACCUUCGUAGAGAAAGUUAUUGAAAUUUAAGAAGUUGAAGUAUAUUAGAUCAAGGUGCAGUUUAUAAGUAAGAAGAAAUGGGUUACAAUAAAAUUUAUUUAUACGUAUCAGUAAUUGAAUAGUUUCUGUGAAGGAGGAUUUAAUUGUAACAUAUAAUUUAAUAAGUUAGUGUGAUAUGAGAACUAAAAUAUGUACACAU
rnacentral:rRNA from 1 species